GAGGGUGUAGCUCAGGGGUAGAGCACGUGCUUAGCAUGUGUGAGGUCUUGGGUUCCAUCCCCAGCACCUCUG
rnacentral:tRNA from 1 species